rnacentral:rRNA from 1 species
GGGCUGACGGGUGCUAUACAUGCAGUCGAACGCGCGGAUCAGGAGCUUGCUCCUGUGACGCGAGUGGCGGACGGGUGAGUAACACGUAGGCAACCUGCCCAUCAGACUGGGAUAACCACGGGAAACCGUGGCUAAUACCGGAUAAUCCUUUUCCACACAGGUGGAAAAGUUGAAAGGCGGUCUUUUGGGUGUCACUGAUGGAUGGGCCUGCGGCGCAUUAUCUUGUUGGUGGGGUAACGGCCCACCAAGGCGACGAUGCGUACCCGACCUGAGAGGGUGAUCGGCCACACUGGGACUGAGACACGGCCCAGACUCCUACGGGAGGCAGCAGUAGGGAAUCUUCCGCAAUGGACGAAAGUCUGACGGAGCAACGCCGCGUGAGUGAAGAAGGGUUUCGGCUCGUAAAACUCUGUUGUCAGGGAAGAACGCCGACGGGAGUAACUGCCCGUCGGGUGACGGUACCUGACCAGAAAGCCACGGCUAACUACGUGCCAGCAGCCGCGGUAAUACGUAGGUGGCAAGCGUUAUCCGGAAUUAUUGGGCGUAAAGCGCGCGUAGGCGGUUCGUUAAGUCUGAUGUGAAAGCCCCCGGCUCAACCGGAGAGGGUCAUUGGAAACUGGCGGACUUGAGUGCAGAAGAGGAGAGUGGAAUUCCAUGUGUAGCGGUGAAAUGCGCAGAGAUAUGGAGGAACACCAGUGGCGAAGGCGGCUCUCUGGUCUGCAACUGACGCUGAGGUGCGAAAGCGUGGAGAUCAAACAAGAUUAUAUACUCUGAUAGUCCACGCCGUAAACGAUGAGUGCUAAGUGUUAGGGGGUCUCCGCCUCUUAGUGCUGCAGCUAACGCAUUAAGCACUCCGUCUGGAGAGUACGGCCGCAAGGUUGAAACUCAAGAGUAGUGACGGAGACCCGCACAAGCGGUGCAGCAUGUGUUUUAUUCGAAGCAACGCGAAGACUUCACCAUAUCUUGACAUCCUCUGACCACCGUGGAGACAGGUCUCUCUUCGGGCAGAGUGACAUGUGCUGCAUGGUGUCGUCAUCUCGUGUCGUGAAGAUGUUGGGAUAAGUCCCGCAACGAGCGCAACUCUUUAUCAUAGUGCCAGCAUUCAGUGGCACUCUAGGAACUGCGGUGACAAUCGGGAGAAAAGGGGGGUAGACUCAAAUCAUCAUGCCUUAGAUUGGCUCACAUGGUUGAUUGACGUUGCAAAGGCAUAAGCUGGAGCAGGCAAUUCAAUAAAAGUG